rnacentral:rRNA from 1 species
AUUGAACGCUGGCGGCAGGCAUAACACAUGCAAGUCGAGCGAGCGGCGGACGGGCGAGUAAUGUCUGGGAAACUGCCUGAUGGAGGGGGAUAAAUACUGGAAACGGUAGCUAAUACCGCAUACCAUCAGAUGUGCCCAGAUGGGAUUAGCUAUUAGGUGGGGUAACGGCUCACCUAGGCGACGAUCCCUAGCUGGUCUGAGAGGAUGACCAGCCACACUGGAACGGAGACACGGUCCAGACUCCACCGGGAGGCAGCAUUGGGGAAUAUGGCACAAUGGGCGCAAGCCUGAGGCAGCAAUGCCGCGUGUGUGAAGAAGGCCUUCGGGUUUUAAAGCACUUUCAGCGGGGAGGCGUUACCCGCAGAAGAAGCACCGGCUAACUCCGUGCCAGCAGCCGCGGUAAUUC